AGAGUUUGAUCCUGGCUCAGAAUCAACGCUGGCGGCGUGCCUCAGACAUGCAAGUCGAACGCGAAAGGCCCCUUCGGGGGCCGAGUAGAGUGGCGUCCGGGUGAGUAACACGUAAGUAAUCUACCUUCGAGUGGGGAAUAACGUUCGGAAACGAACGCUAAUACCGCAUAAUGCAGCGGCAUCUAUGAUGACAGUUGUUAAAGAUUUAUCGCUUGAAGAGGAGCUUGCGGCAGAUUAGCUAGUUGGUAAGGUAACGGCUUACCAAGGCGACGAUCUGUAUCCGGUCUAAGAGGACGGUCGGACACACUGACACUGAAUAACGGGUCAGACUCCUACGGGAGGCAGCAGUCGGGAAUUUUGGGCAAUGGGCGAAAGCCUGACCCAGCAACGCCGCGUGAAGGAUGAAGUUUUUCGGAAUGUAAACUUCGUAAGAAUAGGAAGAAUAAAUGACGGUACUAUUUGUAAGGUCCGGCUAACUACGUGCCAGCAGCCGCGGUAA
rnacentral:rRNA from 1 species